UACGUAGGGUGCGAGCGUUGUCCGGAAUUAUUGGGCGUAAAGAGCUCGUAGGCGGUGUGUCACGUCGUUCGUGAAAACCUGCAGCUUAACUGUGGGCGUGCGGUCGAUACGGGCAUCACUGGAGUUCGGCAGGGGAGACUGGAAUUCCUGGUGUAGCGGUGAAAUGCGCAGAUAUCAGGAGGAACACCGGUGGCGAAGGCGGGUCUCUGGGCCUGUACUGACGCUGAGGAGCGAAAGCGUGGGGAGCGAACAGG
rnacentral:rRNA from 1 species